rnacentral:rRNA from 1 species
GUCUACGGCCAUACCACUGAGAAAGCACCGGUUCUCGUCCCAUCACCGAAGUUGAGCUCAGUAGGGCACGGUUAGUACUUGGAUGGGUGA